rnacentral:misc_RNA from 1 species
GAAAUGCGAUAAGUAAUGUGAAUUGCAGAAUUCAGUGAAUCAUCGAAUCUUUGAACGCACAUUGCGCCCGCCAGUAUUCUGGCGGGCAUGCCUGUUCGAGCGUCAUUACAACCCUCAGGCCCCCGGGCCUGGCGUUGGGGAUCGGCGGAAGCCCCCUGCGGGCACAACGCCGUCCCCCAAAUACAGUGGCGGUCCCACCGCAGCUUCCAUUGCGUAGUAGCUAACACCUCGCAACUGGAGAGCGGCGCGGCCACGCCGUAAAACACCCAACUUCUGAAUGUUGACCUCGAAUCAGGUAGGAAUACCCACUGAACUUAAGC